GGGGGGGGGGGGGUUGGACCUUCCGGAGUUGUUGGUAAGAAUUUCCAAGUUGUUUUCCUUAACUAAUGUGGGUAUGUAGAUGCUAUAAAGAAAUUUGUGUUAUUAUGUGACUUUUGAUGACUUAUAAGGGUGUUUCUUAUUGUUUAAUGUAUAAUCAGAGGUUUGAUGUGAUGAUAUGCAAUGAUUGUGUGAAAUGUGUGUGUGUAUGUGUGUGUGCGUGUGUUUGUUUGUGUGUGUGUGUAUGAUUAUGAGAGGGAAAUAAUGAUGAUGCAUAUGUGGUUGAUUGUGUGAAUGAUGUUGAUUGACAUAAUUCCAUGAUCCUCGUGAAGAGGUUAUAUGGAACUUUGUUGUGGGGGUUUAUCUUGACACUUUGAAUAACCUCAACCUCACAUAGAGAUAUAUGGUUAUGUGGUGGAGAGUAGAAGGAGGUCCUUGUUUAGGAGCCUUGUUUUGGUCAAAGAC
rnacentral:lncRNA from 1 species